UAUUAGAACUCAAUUUAAAUAACUUACCAGUACUUUUUAUGCAAAAACGCUGAUAAACUCGAUUAAUUUGAGUUGUCCUAACUUAGAAAAACUAAGUAAGCUGGAAGUUUUGCUUCUCUGGGCGGAAGGAUGAAAGAUGUGUUUUGAAAAUGCCACGUGACUACCGUCCUCCUCCCUCGCGGAUCAGUCCGCAUGUUCACGGUGCCAGCAUUUGUUAUGGAAUAUGUUGAGCAAACCUGGAGAAGCGUCAGCUCAAGAGACUAUUGUUGUCAUUACUGUGGAUCUUUACCUGAUACACUGACUUGGCUCGGGACCAGCACUCCUGCUGUUGGACAGAAAGACAUCAACUCAGUGACUUGAGAUAUGACUGCACUAUGCUGUUGCUGGUGACUCCAGUUAAUUCUACAAGACAUGCUGUGAAAACAGGAGAGAUGAGUCCUCCGUCACAGAUGGUGUGGUCAGUGAAGAUGGUCGCCUGCAGGUUCAUGCUCAUUGCAUCUCCAACCCACAUCCACUGCCACUGUACUUAAGGGAAGUUAAAGACUUUCUUCUGCACCUACAUUUGGAUCACCUCGAUCCAUGACAGUCAUUCAGGCAGUAAUGCCUGGACUGGAAACAAGCAUCCUUAAAAUAAUACAACAUUCCAGCUCAUGUGUUGGAAUGAAAAACAAAUGUGUUGUUUAAAUUAGAGACUGCACUUGUGACAGAACAACAAAUAUUUUAUUUUGAUUAUAUAAGUAAUGUAAGUACAAAACAAACUUGUGGUAGGCCUAAACUUAUUUUCAGAAUAAUUACAUCUGAGACUUUGUUUCAUUGUAAGAUUAUAACAGUGAUGGCAAUAUAAUUGUUUGUUGUUCAGCAGAACAGUGUCCAGUAUGUUGGCUGUUGUACUUUGUUGUGUUUGAAAAUAAAAGUUGUGCUCAUUUUAACAUCAUUACAAAAAUUGUUGUUAAUUAUUUUUAAUCAUAUUCAUGGUACCACAAAUUGUUUUUUCAUUUAGUUGAACUUG